GCCCUCGGCUGGGGAACAGGCUGAACACGUCCUGCCAGCACCAGGGGCCCAGAGUCAGCUGCAGCUGCUCCCUGUGCUCCCACCCCUCUCCCCUGCUCCAGUGGCAGGUGGACGGGCGAGCCGCUGGCUGGGAACGGUUCAUGGGGGCCCCUGCAGGUCAGCUCCUGGGCCCAGGGGGAUGAGGCCGUCAGCACCCUGAGCUGGACGGGGAGCAGGGACAGGGGCCCCCAGAUCUUCUGCCUUGGCUCCAACACCCACAGGAUGUAUACUGUACUGCUGAGCCCACCUGACACAGCUCCCACAGGUGGCCUCACUCGGGCAUUUAUCGAAAUCAGCUGCAAACUCGUCUUCGUGGCGACUGGAUUCAUCCUGGCCUAUUACCUCACCCUGCUCUAUUACAGAUGGACACCCUGGUGCUGUCAUGGAAGCAGAAGGAAGGACAGGCCAGGGGCCAGGGUAUCCAUGGUGCUCGAGUCCGGCAUGUAGCUCGGGCCGUUCCUCAGCUACCAAAGAGCCGACAAGAAAUUGGAAUCUCACAGGACUGAGGAAACAGAGAAUGAGACCUCAGCUGGGGGAACUGCCACCCCGGGUGAGGCCAACAGACCCAUCUAGCCUGAUAUCCUGCCCCCUCCCUACCCAGUUUGUUGCCUUGUUAAUUAUGACUUUGUUUGCUCUGUGAUGACCGCCAGGCGACCAGAUACCCCGGUGACAAGCACAGUAUGAGACUGUGGAAGAAAACAAGUUCUCACUCUGAGGUUGUUAGCAACAAGCCGGAGACAGUUUAUGAUGAGUUGCAAGGGAAGACUGUGGUCGGGCCGGGGGUCUCCCUGACCUUAAGCAGACCUUCCCCCUACAAGCUGUAUAAGACAAGUAUUUAUAGGUUCCUGUUACAUACAUCAAUGGCUAACAGUUAUUCUUUAUUUAUACAAAACCCCUCCAGCCCCUACCUUAUCUCAAGGUUUCUGCUUCAGUCAGCAUUCCAUUCUUAUCAACUAAAAGCAAGACGAGACCAGCAUCUUUUACAACUCUCCCGUGGUUAGGGUUAAACAAAUCCUUUUGCUCGAUUCUUAAAAGAACUAAAGAAAUCUAUCCCUAGAUCCUCCUUUUACUCUUAUUUUCUGCUUCCACAAGACCCUCUAGAGAACAGAGCAAACCAUCUCAUACUAGUUACUGAUCACUGCAAGACAAAGCCCAACCCAGCAGCUCUGAUGGCCGUUCCCAGCUAAUGUGGGGAGAAAGUUUAACAGAGAAACUUUUUUUUUGGUGGAAAAUGCAAAUUCGGCAACACCAAAACUUUGUGUGAAUCCAGGUCGAUUUUGCUGAAUUGUUCAUUUGGCGAAAAAAUAUUCCCACAAUUGCUCAAAAUGGAAAGAUAUUGUUAGGCGUUUUCAAAAAGAAAUGUUUCACUUUCUCAAUUCAAAACCACAGUAUGGGUUGAAAUUUCCUGUAAUUUUAUUUUUUAGUAAAAAAAAAUCUAAAAUGCUUGAAAUCAAAACAAAAUGUUUCAUCCUCAAACCAAAUCUAUUUCUGGCUGCCUGCUUCACUGAAAAUUUUGACUAAAUUUCAUUUUCGGUUUUACAUGAAAAGAUGUUUUCCACCCCUGACUUUUGGUUCCCUCAAAAUGUAUCAAACUGUGCUUUCAUGUUGAUCCCCCAAAUAUUUUUUUCAAAUGUUUGGUUCACCAAAAAAUUCAACAAUUUUUCUUUUUCUUUCGAUCCAAACAAUUUUCAGUUUGCUAAAAAUUUGACCAAUUUUUGUUUCAAGCCACUAGGGGAAUGGGCCACUGGGUCUUUCCCCUCUUGUGGGCGAUGGCUUGGAUCCAGCCCCAGAGUGGGGGACUGGCUGGCUCAGGUGGCAGCAGUGGGAUACCGGUGACAAUGAGUACAGGCUGUGUCGCUCAGUAGCUGUGCCGGAACAAUUUCCCCUUGGUGAUGUGCAGAUAAGAGCAGCUCCCGUCCCUGGCUCACACGUCCUUGAUGCCUAAGGAGCAGCCUCCCAUCUCCAGGAACCCCAGCAUCCAGAAGUGGCCCCGUGCCUCCCGCAAUACCUCUCGGUAGAAUAGUGGUUCUUAAACUUUUUUUUUCACAGACCACUUAAGAAUUUCUGAGGGUCUUGGCAGACCACUUACUGAUCUUUCCAAAUGUUGUUUGUACAGUUAGCUAACUAUUGUAAAGCACUUUGGAUAUAUAAAAA